rnacentral:rRNA from 1 species
CACGUAGGGGGCGAGCGUUGUCCGGAUUUAUUGGGCGUAAAGAGCUCGUAGGCGGCUCGGUAAGUGAGGUGUGAAAACUCCAGGCUCAACCUGGAGACGCCACCUACAUACUGCCGUGGCUAGAGUCCGGUAGGGGAGCAUGGAAUUCCUGGUGUAGCGGUGAAAUGCGCAGAUAUCAGGAGGAACACCAGUGGCGAAGGCGGUGCUCUGGGCCGGAACUGACGCUGAGGAGCGAAAGCGUGGGGAGCAAACAGG